ACUUUUAACAUUGCUGGACCCCCCUUCCCCCUAAACAAAAGAUCUCAUCACCUUUAAUCCUCAAAGAAAAUACAGCGGCUAGUCGCAAAUCAAACACUAGACGCACCAAUUUUGCACCAAUUUUCCAAUGGCUUCUUUAAUUUUGUGUGUUAUUACAGCUAAUAAUUUGCCCUAAUCUCUGGUUUAUCUGAUCUAUCACAAAUUUGAGACUCAUCGAGCCAAAGGCUGUUGUUUUUAGUGUAGUUCGAAUUGUGGGUGCGAGCCUGCCUAUGUCAAUCGCACUUCUCAUAAAGGAUUGAGAUAUCGGCAUGAGACAGCUGGGUGAGGUUUCUUUGCUGGGAAACUGGCCGAAGGGUGUUGAGAAGACGUAUGAUGGAGGGCCAGAGUAUUGCAUUGAUGUUGUCGCUGUUGGCAAUGUUUUGAGGUUUAUUAAUCAUAGGGCCUAGGUAGUCGGAUAAAGCCAACAAGACAUCUAUAUUAAUAGUAUUAGUUAAUAGAGAAUGUCAAUUUUUUUUUCCAUGAAGUAUUUGUGUAAACAAUGACAUGACUAAUGUGUGUGUAUAUAUAUAUGGUGUUUAUGUGUAUAUAUGAAAACAAAUAAUGGUAAUUUUAGAGACCA